UCGCUUCCUUGAUGUGUUCCGGCUCUUCUCUCUCUUUUUUUUUUUUCUCCACUUUCAAACUUCUGUUUCCUUUGUCCCAUUCUGUGUGUGUCUCUUGCACA
rnacentral:ribozyme from 1 species